rnacentral:rRNA from 1 species
UACGUAGGUGGCUAGCGUUGUCCGGAUUUACUGGGCGUAAAGAGCGCGCAGGCGGUCGUUCAAGUCGAGUGUGAAAGCCCCCGGCUCAACUGGGGAGGGUCACUCGAUACUGAUCGACUUGAAGGCGGGAGAGGGAAGCGGAAUUCCCGGUGUAGUGGUGAAAUGCGUAGAUAUCAGGAGGAACACCGACGGCGAAGGCAGCACUCUGGGCCGGUACUGACGCUGAGGAGCGAAAGCGUGGGGAGCAAACAGG